rnacentral:rRNA from 1 species
UACGGGGGGGGCAAGCGUUGUUCGGAAUUACUGGGCGUAAAGGGCGCGUAGGCGGUCCGCUAAGUUGAAUGUGAAAACUCUGGGCUUAACCCAGAGCCUGCAUUCAAUACUGGCGGGCUAGAGUUCUGGAGGGGAUAGCGGAAUUCCUGGUGUAGCGGUGAAAUGCGUAGAUAUCAGGAGGAACACCGGUGGUGUAGACGGCUCUCUGGACCGUAACUGACGCUGAGACACGAAAGCGUGGGUAGCAAACAGG